rnacentral:snRNA from 1 species
GUGCUUGCUUCAGCAGCACACGUACUAAAAUUGGAACGAUGCAGAGAAGAUUAACAUGGCCCUGCAGAGGGAUGACAGGCAAAUUCAUGAAGCGUUCCAUAUUUUA